rnacentral:rRNA from 1 species
AAACUGCCUGAUGGAGGGGGAUAACUACUGGAAACGGUAGCUAAUACCGCAUAACGUCGCAAGACCAAAGAGGGGGACCUUCGGGCCUCUUGCCAUCAGAUGUGCCCAGAUGGGAUUAGCUAGUAGGUGGGGUAAUGGCUCACCUAGGCGACGAUCCCUAGCUGGUCUGAGAGGAUGACCAGCCACACUGGAACUGAGACACGGUCCAGACUCCUACGGGAGGCAGCAGUGGGGAAUAUUGCACAAUGGGCGCAAGCCUGAUGCAGCCAUGCCGCGUGUGUGAAGAAGGCCUUCGGGUUGUAAAGCACUUUCAGCGAGGAGGAAGGUGGUGAGCUUAAUACGUUCAUCAAUUGACGUUACUCGCAGAAGAAGCACCGGCUAACUCCGUGCCAGCAGCCGCGGUAAUACGGAGGGUGCAAGCGUUAAUCGGAAUUACUGGGCGUAAAGCGCACGCAGGCGGUUUGUUAAGUCAGAUGUGAAAUCCCCGGGCUCAACCUGGG